rnacentral:rRNA from 1 species
UGGGGAAUAUUGCACAAUGGGGGGAAAACCCUGAUGCAGCGACGCCGCGUGAGCGAUGAAGUAUUUCGGUAUGUAAAGCUCUAUCAGCAGGGAAGAAAAUGACGGUACCUGACUAAGAAGCACCGGCUAAAUACGUGCC